CCUACGGGUGGCAUCAGUGGGGAAUAUUGGACAAUGGGCGAAAGCCUGAUCCAGCCAUGCCGCGUGUGUGAAGAAGGCCUUCGGGUUGUAAAGCACUUUCAGUGGGGAAGAAAGCCUUGGGGCUAAUACCCUCGAGGAAGGACAUCACCCACAGAAGAAGCACCGGCUAACUCCGUGCCAGCAGCCGCGGUAAUACGGAGGGUGCGAGCGUUAAUCGGAAUUACUGGGCGUAAAGCGCGCGUAGGCGGUCUGAUAAGCCGGUUGUGAAAGCCCCGGGCUCAACCUGGGAACGGCAUCCGGAACUGUCAGGCUAGAGUGCAGGAGAGGAAGGUAGAAUUCCCGGUGUAGCAGUGAAAUGCGUAGAGAUCGGGAGGAAUACCAGUGGCGAAGGCGGCCUUCUGGACUGACACUGACGCUGAGGUGCGAAAGCGUGGGUAGCAAACAGGAUUAGAUACCCUAGUAGUC
rnacentral:rRNA from 1 species